rnacentral:rRNA from 1 species
GAUGAACGCUGGCGGCGUGCCUAAUACAUGCAAGUCGAGCGAAUGGAUUAAGAGCUUGCUCUUAUGAAGUUAGCGGCGGACGGGUGAGUAACACGUGGGUAACCUGCCCAUAAGACUAGGAUAACUCCGGGAAACCGGGGCUAAUACCGGAUAACAUUUUGAACCGCGUGGUUCGAAAUUGUAAGGCGGCUUCGGCUGUCACUUAUGGAUGGACCCGCGUCGCAUUAGCUAGUUGGUGAGGUAGCGGCUCACCAAGGCAACGAUGCGUAGCCGACCUGAGAGGGUGAUCGGCCACCCUGGGACUGAGACACGGCCCAGACUCCUACGGGAGGCAGCAGUAGGGAAUCUUCCGCAAUGGACGAAAGUCUGACGGAGCAACGCCGCGUGAGUGAUGAAGGCUUUCGGGUCGUAAAGCUCUGUUGUUAGGGAAGAACAAGUGCUAGUUGAAUAAGCUGGCACCUUGACGGUACCUAACCAGAAAGCCACGGCUAACUACGUGCCAGCCGCCGCGGUAA